rnacentral:rRNA from 1 species
GACGAACGCUGGCGGCGUGCUUAACACAUGCAAGUCGAACGGAAAGGCCCUGCUUUUGUGGGGUGCUCGAUUGGCGAACGCGUGAGUAACACGUGAGUAACCUGCCCUUCACUUUGGGAUAACUUCAGGUAACUGGGGCUAAUACCGGAUAGGAGCUCCUGCUGCAUGGUGGGGGUUGGAAAGUUUCGGCGGUUGGGGAUGGACUCGCGGCUUAUCAGCUUGUUGGUGGGGUAGUGGCUUACCAAGGCUUUGACGGGUCGCCGGCCUGUGAGGGUGACCGGGCACAUGAGGCCUGAGAGAGGGCCCAGACUCCUACGGGAGGCAACGGUGGGGAAUAUUACACAGUGGGCGGGAGUCUGAUGCGGAGACGCCGCGUGCGGGAUGACGGCCUUCGGGUUGUGAACCGCUGUCGCCUGAGACGAAGCGGGAGUGACGGUAAUGGGUAAAGAAGCACCGGCUAACUACGUG